rnacentral:rRNA from 1 species
UACGAAGGGGGCUAGCGUUGCUCGGAUUUACUGGGCGUAAAGGGCGCGUAGGCGGAUUUCUAAGUCGGGGGUGAAAGCCCAGGGCUCAACCCUGGAAUUGCCUUCGAUACUGGAAGUCUUGAGUACGGGAGAGGUGAGUGGAACUCCGAGUGUAGAGGUGAAAUUCGUAGAUAUUCGGAAGAACACCAGUGGCGAAGGCGACUCACUGGCCCGUUACUGACGCUGAGGCGCGAAAGCGUGGGGAGCAAACAGG